rnacentral:pre_miRNA from 1 species
GAUUUCAACUGAAAAAGUCAUCAACAACAAAGUUGUAUAACUCAUCAAGAUCUAUAACUUUUAUUUUGGUCAUUUCUUCAUCCGACAAAGUGAUAGUAACAUUGUUCACAAAAUUUGCAUCUAUCUCAUAUGUAAACUUUGUGAACAAUAUUAUUAUCAAUUUAUCAGAUGAAGAAAUGACCAAAAUAAAAGUUGUAUGUCUUGAUGAGCUCUGCAACUUUCAUGUUCAUGACUUUUUCAGCUGAAAUU